rnacentral:lncRNA from 1 species
CUGAAGGCCGCCUGGGUCUUUCUAGCACAUCAAAGGCAGAGACCAUUGAACCCACGUGGAGGCUCCUCGUCCUCCCAACAGCCCAGAUGCCAUCGGACUCAGAAGCAAAGCACUGAGCACAUCGUACCGCGGGCCUACACGGGGACUAAAAGAAGCUGAAGACGGGUCACUGCCAGUUUCUCCCUGCGCUCCCCCCUGCAGGGGCUGAGAUGAAAAUAAUAGACUUGACAUCUGGAGAACAGAAGUUCUGUUACAAUUUCUGU